rnacentral:rRNA from 1 species
UACGUAGGGUGCGAGCGUUAAUCGGAAUUACUGGGCGUAAAGUGUGCGCAGGCGGUUGAGCAAGUCGAGUGUGAAAGUCACAGGCUCAACCUGUGAAUGCCGCUGGAAACUGUCUGGCUAGAGUCCGGAAGGGGCGAGUGGAAUUCCUGGUGUAGCGGUGAAAUGCGCAGAUAUCAGGAGGAACACCAAUGGCGAAAGCAGCUUUCUGGGACGGUACUGACGCUGAGACGCGAAAGCGUGGGGAGCGAACAGG